rnacentral:rRNA from 1 species
UGUGGAAUAUUGUUCAAUGGGCGGAAGCCUGAACCAGCCAUCCCGCGUGAAGGAAGAAGGCCUUAUGGGUUGUAAACUUCUUUUCUGUUUGAAGAAUAAGCUUGUCGUGACAAGUGAUGCCGGUAGGACAGGAAUAAGCAUCGGCUAACUCCGUGCUAGCAGCCGCGGUAAUACGGAGAAUGCAAGCGUUAUCCGGAUUUAUUGGGUUUCAAGGGUGCGCAGGUGGUUUAAUAAGUCAGUGGUGAAAGUCUGCCGCUUAACAGUAGGAUUGACGUUGAUACUGUGGAAGAUGAAUAUGGAUGAGGAAGACGGAAUGUGGAGUGUAGAGGUGAAAUACUUAGAUAUUACACGGAACACCGAGUGCGAAGGCAGCGUACUAACCCAUGAUAGACGCUGAGACACGAAAGCGUGGGGAUCAAA